CCUUGAGGGAAGGUCUGGAGUGAAGAUGGUAACGGAAGGGUGGUCCCCGUUCAGAGCAGAGCGUGGGGGCCCCUGGGCUCAGGGCCAAAGGCGGCCCCUGGCACGGGGUGGACAGGGACCCACGCCAUCUGCCCUGCCAGCGGCCUCGGCUGCCUCAUCUGCAGGGCUGGCGACUGGACUGCCGACAUGACCAGCGUCCCCGGGGAGACACGGCCACGUGGCCCCAGGAGCAGCCCGCCUGUUCCUCCCAGGCCUCGCCCUCCAGCUUCCUUGUUUCCUCGUCCAUCUGGGCAGCGAGCUCCAGGGGAGAUGGAGGUGGUGGCCGGAGCAGCCACCAGCUCCCUUGCAAGCCCCCGGCAUGGAGAAGGGCCUUCUCCCUCCCCGACUCCCGAGGCCCAGGCGGACAGGAGAGAAGGGGGCUCCGGGGAAGAGCAGCGUGUCCCGCCAGGAGGACAGGGAGGACCGGCAGCGCCCACAAGGACUCGCAGCCACGUCAAUGUCACUCAUAUUUAAGCCGCAAGAUUGGAUGGAGGGCUCGCGGGGGUGCACGCGUGAUCCCAGUGAUUCCGGAGGCCGAGGCAGGAGGCUUACAAGUUCAAGGCCAGUCUCAGCAAAUUAUUGAGGCCCUAAGCAAUGUCUUCAGGACCCCAGAGUUUUGAAAACCUCUGCAAAGCCCACAGGCCAGCAGGGUCUCUCUCAGGGGCGGGGGUGGCCCUGAGAUUUCCCUUGCACAGCCCAGGGCUCCCGGAGAGGACCUGCGAUGCUCCCGGGCUCGAGUCUCCUCCGUCCUUACAGCGUGGGAUGCCAGCCCCACCAGGAGGGCGCCAAGGUACAGGCCUGGAGCGCCAGCCCCGGGCCUCCGAACAAUGGCCUCUUUGUCUGCUCUGCCUUCAGCUCCCAGCCCCGACCCCGAAGGGCCUGGGCCUCCUGGGAAACUCCAGCCUCCCACGUCAUCUCCUCCUUGGCACUUGUCCCCAGACGGGACGAGCCAGUGUCACCAGAACAGAAUCAGACUACAUCGUCCACCCCUCACCGAGGCCCCGGACAGCGCCGAGACCACCCUGCCCACCCGGGGCGCCCGGCCAGCCCAGGGGCACCCGCGCCCCAGCCGGCAGGCCUUGCCAGUCGUCUGGGCACUGAAGGGAGGAGCGUCGCCAGAGUUGCCUCAGCUCCUGGGCCGGAAGGUGCCGGAGCUCCAGCGCCAGCCUCAGGAACGGUUCCGAGGCCUGGGAGGCACCCAGCGCCAGGGGACCCUCAGGGUCAUCGUCCCCACCCUGCCCCAGGCAAUCCCAGAGAAAGUGGGGAUGACCCCAGGACCGUUUCCUAAGGUGUCGCAGGACUCAGGAAGGUGAGGCUGUGUGUCCAGUUUCUCCCACUGACGCCCAGACCUGGGUUCAGAGACGGGCAUGGGUAUCUAGUUUUUUAUUUAUUUACUGAUUUUUGCAGUGUAAGGGGUUGAACCCAGAACCUUCCACAUGCUGGACAAUUGCUGUACCACUGAGCAACACCCCCACCUGUUUUACUUUUUGUCUUGAGACAGGUCUCACUAAAUUGCUGAGACUGGCCUCUAAUUAGCAAUCCUCCUGCCUCGGCCUCCCAAGUGGCUGAGAUUAUAGGCGUGCACCACUGCGCCCAGCUUCAGUAUUUUAAAUGGAAACGUAUACAUUUGUUUCUCAGAAUUGCCCGAAGGCCUGACAGGCUCAUGGCCCAGUGUCCAAAACUCACAAAGAAACAAAGGCUGGUAUUCAGAGCACGGCCCUUGGUGCAUGUUUGGUUUGGCCCUUUGGUUUGGGAGACCGACCCACUUCCCUCCCUGCGUCCUGUUAGCCUCAGACUGGCUGCUGCAGCCUGAACCCAAAGCCACAGAAAGAGUCCCAGGCGGGAGCCCACCCAGGCCCCGUGCCCCGUCAGCAGUCCACCCCCCCAGGGUCCAUGGACAUGAGACCUGCCUCCCAACCCAGCAGGGGCUUCUCAACUCUGCGUGACUGCCCCCAACUCCACCUCGCACACUUAAUGUCCACAAGAGGCAGGUCGCAAAGCCCCCGCUGGCCAGAGCACCUGACCCCAGGUCACAGGCAGCCCGUCAUGUGGCACCUCCCAAGGGCAGGGCGGUGGCAACUCCAGCCCUGCACUCACCUCCCGCAGCCGGACACUGUCCAGCCCCUUGCUCCAGCUGACGCCACCGUCAGAGCUCCCUGCAAGGCGACCUCCAAGGACGGCCCACUCCAGGCCGCUCCUCCUCCUCCCGAGGCUCGGCUGGCUUCCCUCCCCAGAUCCCACCACCCAGGGUUCUUGUGCGAACGUGCACCGUGCCGCACCCGGGGCCAGCGGGCCCACAGGAAGCCCUCGGCCUGCUCUGGGAGGCCUCUGCCAUGAAGCUGGCCUCAGAAUCACCCCUUCAGAGGCAGGGGUGGCAGAAGGGGGCAUGGACAGCUCAUCCUGGUGCCCCUCUGGCAGGAGCCACGUAGGAAGAGGCGGAGACAGAAGGCUUCGCCCAGGUACCUGGGUAGGAGCCGUCACAGAGAGCACACAGAAGUCACAGCCAUAACUAUACAGCUGUCCCCUCGUCCACCAGGGACACAUCCCAGGACCCCAGUGGAUGCCCGAAGCAGACACUCUAUGCUUUUGCCCACACAUGCCUUUGACAAAGUCCAGUUUAUAAAUUAAGCAUGGGCCAGGCGUGGUGGCACAUGCCUGUAAUCCCAGAGACUCGGGAGGCUGAGGCAGGAGGAUCCCAAGCUCAAGGCCAGUAUCAGCAACUUAGCAAGAUCCUGUCUCAAAUUUUAAAAAAUAAAGCUCAGUGGCAAAGUGCCCCUGGAGUCGAUCCUCGGUACCAAAAAAGAUUUUUAAAAAUAAAUUCGGCACAUAAAAGAUCAAUAGGUAAAACUAAAAUUGAACAAUUACAAGGAUUCACCAGACAGAGGGUGGUUGGCAUCCCAAGCGCCACAGCACGUGAUCUCGUCCUGCUAGUCAGGACAACACAAUUGAAAACUUACGACUCGUUCAUUUCUGGAAUUUUCCAUGCUGUAUUUUUGGACUGUGGUUAACCACAGGAAACACACUGCAGAAAGCGGAACCAUGGAUCGGGGGACAACCCGAGGCUCAGCCCAGGGUCCCCACCAUGCACCCGUCCAGUGACUCCCUGGGAACCUCUGCCACACCCUGGGAGCCGUCAUCGUCCCCACUGGACAAAGGAAAGUGACUCAGCCUUGAAGUCAGGCGUGAGAGUCCCCAGGCGCGUGAGCGGCAGAGCGAGACUCGAACCCAGGCCAGCCAGCUCCCUGGCCCACCUGGACCGGCCACCACGCUCCACACCUAGAGGCCAAAACCCGCCUGCUGCAGCGCACGCAGCGAACGCCCCGCAGGCAGGGCGCGAGCCAGCCCUGCGCCACCUCUGCCUGGGAAGUCCUGCACGCCCCACCGCGUCCCCACCUCCUGGAGGCCACAGACACAGCCACUCCGAGCACAAAGACGGCCGACGGCCGAUGGCCACGGCGAGGGCAGCACCCGGCCACGGAGAGCUGGGACUCUCCCCGCCCUGGGCCCUCGGGUCACCUCUGGCCAGCUCUGGCCCUCCCAGUCUCCGCCAUCAAGCACUGGCUGCUCGCAGUCGCCGCCGGGUCAACACCGCUGACCCUCCUCUUCCUAGAGCGCUGGACGCGGCUGCGGGAUGCGCGCCCACCCAGGCACCCCGAGCUGGCGGCAGGGACCCGCCCUCCGGCCUCGCUCCGCCCACCGAUGGCCCUGCUCCCCUGCUCCUGGUGACCCCGUCGCUGCCUCCCAGGUCUCCGUGGAGAGCCGGGUGGGAUUCGCUCUCCACACAAGCCUGGCUUUGUCUCUCGACUGAAAGGCGGACUCGGUCUUGGGCCACCGUCCUCAGGGGGAACAGAGGUGACCCAGACGGGAGCCCACGAGGCCCCGAGGCCAGCGGGGAGCUGGGCUGCCUGCUGCGCUCUGUCCCUGGAAUUCGUUCUCAGGAACACUUGGCGAGUCACCCCUCAGCCCAGGGCCUCGCUGGGGCAGCGGCUUCCUCUCUGGUGCUAGUAAAUACGGACAGCCACGCGGAGCCCCCUGCGGCCAGCACUGCCGGGCUGGGAGGCAGGUGCUCUCAGGACCAGAGCGGGCAGGCCCCCGGCAGCGGCUCCCCAGGGCUCCGAGGCUCAGCCCUAGGACGCGAGAGCCGCGCAGCUCCCCAGGCCCAACCAGGGUCCUGACCCACGCUGGCGUCAGUGGACAGAGGCCAGGAGAGCCGCUUCAACACCCCACGCUGCACAGAACUGCCUCCCACAGCAAAGACGCUCCAGCCCCAGACACCAGGCGUGAGAAGCCCUGCGGGGACAGGUGGCCUGGGGGACAGGCGGCCUGGGGUCAGCCUGGCCCUGUCACCGCCAGCCGGGAGACUUGAAACACACUUCCUAAACCCCUCGAGCCUUGCUCUCCUCAUCUGUAAAGUGGGCAUAAGGCUCUGUCGAGGUGAUUGAAUCAUGAAGCACAGGCGAGGCCCUUAGCUUCUGCUCCAGGAUCGGCCAGGGAGUGGGGCCGGGGUCCAGCAGGCAGGAGGCCCUCCCAGCACCACGGAGUCCUAGACCACAGAGCCUGGGGACAUGUCCCUCAUGUGGAAAAGGGGUCUCUGCAGAGGCCGUUAAGCUAGGAUCCCAGAUUCCAUCGAGCUGGACCACGGGGCGGGCCCUUCGUCCCCAGGGACUGCCCCAAGCUGUCCUCCUGCACCUGGCUCAGGACAGUGGGAAGGGGCAGCAUGUCCUCACACACCGCCGGGCAGCCUGGAAAUGCUGACGUCACUGGCUGAGGUCCCAAGCCCCCACCCUCUCUGGGCUGUAGCCUCCACUCCCUGACCUCUAACACCGAGAAGGCCGGGUGCAGCUCCCUAGAGCACUUGCCUGCAAGGCCCCGACUCCAUCCCCAGCACCUCCAAAGCAAAGGAACGGCCAUGAAGUCAGGAGGCAGCCUGGGCCAACUGCCUCCCACAUGUCCUCAAUGUUGAACCCUGGAUGUGGCUAGUGACCUCCUGAUAGAUCUCCAGGCCCAGGUUAGGCCUGCGAUUCAACAGUGCUACUAUUACACCCCAGACAGGGUGGCUGGACCCACAGGGCCGGGGCAAGCUCUCCAGAAGUCAGGUGGACAAAGCAAGAAGCAGAAACGUAUCUGGCAUAAAAAUGCACCUGUAUGAAAAUAGAAAUGGGCCACCUAGACUUACAGGGUCUUGCCAAGUUGCUGAGGCUGGCCUCAAACUUGCGAUCCUCCUGCCUCAGCCUCCCGAGUUGCUGGGCUUACAGACCAGUACCACAGUGCCUGGCUCUACCAACACCUCCAGCCGCCUUGUUGUGUGGAUUGUACUCAACAGGUGACAUACAUGGUAUGUACAUGACACCUCAGUAGAGGUGCUUCUGAAAAGCACUCCCACCUGCUGAGGAGUCACCAUGGAGGACGAUCCCAACAGCUCCGUCACUGAUGGUCUGUGCAGCUAGGAGGGGUCUGAGGGGGAGGGCCAGCUGGGUCCUCAGAGACACAGGGAUGCUGGGAAGCCCAAGGCUUCCGUGCGCUCCCACCUGGCCCUGGCCCUGGCCCAGGCGGUGCGGUGAGCCUGUCCUCUGAGGCAGACAGCAUGGCCAGCCAGGGGUGCGGAGUGGACGUGGGCAGUCAAGUCCCAACUCUGCCUCUCGCUAGCUGUGUGGCCUCGGGCAAGUCAUUUUAUCUCCGAGUUACAGCUUCCUUACUUAAAACUAACUGAUAACCGUAAUUUACUAAUGGGUACAGAAAAUCAGACAACCCACGUCGACUACCAGCACAGCUCCUGAGCCACAGUAAUCCUCCCAAAACGCUGGCAGCAGGGACAACAAACGUGGCUUCGUUAUUCAGAAAAAUGGUUGGUCUCCCAACAAGGGGUGGAGGGGCGAACGCUUCCCCUGAGAGGCAGGCCCUGCUUGUUUCUUUCUGUGCAAGACAGAGAGCCACGUUCCAGGGACUUGCAUGGAACUUUCUAGAGUCAACUCACCCCCUAGUAGCGAAGGCAGUGUUGAAUUUAAGGUGGAUUCUCCCACGAAAGCUCACAACCAGCGAUCCAUCUCCACUGAGGACAACCUGGGACCAAGACCAAGCCAGCGCCCCCGCGCCAGAGAGGGAGCCAGCCAGCCAGGAACCUGGGCAGGACCAGGCCUGAGGCUUGACAAUAGCAGUUAACAACAGGGAUCCUCUCCUGUCCUUAAGGACGC